rnacentral:misc_RNA from 1 species
AAACAUUAUAGCAGUGGCGG